UUUAUACCUGCUCUAAUUCAAGACACUAAUAUAAUAUAAUCUAGUAAUCUGCUCUAAUCUAUUCUAGUCAUUUCUUAAUUAUUAUGUACACUUUUUAUUGCCUCUACCAAUCUCUUUUUAUCUUUAAUGAUUAUCAAGUGAGAUAGUAUAUGUAGAAUUGUAAAUUUAAACUUCUCAAUACAUGUCAAGAAAUAGUUUUAUCUCUGAAAUUCUGUCUCAGAAAAUAAAAAAAAAAAUAUGUAUGCCAAAUAGAAAAUAAGGACUUGGCUACCAUUACUGACCCAAUUAUAGAUUGUAUGGGUGGGCUAGAGGAACUUGUCUUUAACUUUGACUAAGUAGUUGUAAAUGACAAAAAAAUGUAGGUGCAUAUGAGGUAGUACUGAGUUUUAGGAAUCCAGAUCCAUAUCCCUUCUUCCCAUCCUCCUCCAGUCAACCUUGGCUACCAUUACUGACCCAAUUAUAGUAAUGUAGAUUACACACACACACACACACACACAAACAGUACAUUUAGACUUGUACUUAAUUGGCUAGUUCAAAGUAUCAAAUGUUUAAACUAUGUGAAAUUAAUAAUAUGAACAGUAAAUAAUUAUUACUUAUAUUCUACCUUUUAAAUAUUUAGACUGCUGAAUUAUAAAUUAUUAUAAACUCUAGGUUAUAUGUACCAAUACAUUCAACUCUGGUGAUAAAGACUGAAGUAGCUAUAGGUUUUAAGAAAGAAAACAGCCUAAUUCAUGUGAAAAUAAUUUUAUUGGAAGCUUUAAUUUUUCAAAGAACUAGUUCAAGAACACAUGCAUAAUUAAGUUUAUUAUUGAAGCUACUAUUGGUGUACUUUUUACUUCAUAC
rnacentral:lncRNA from 1 species